rnacentral:misc_RNA from 1 species
GAACCAACCGAGACAGGGUACUUAUUAGAGAGGCAAUGGUAAAAGGCUCCAUUGUACUUAUUGUGAUAAGAGUAAUCAUACUCAAGACACUUGUUGGGCCUUUCAUAAUCGACUGCCACACCCCAUUCAGUCAAAUAAUGUGAACCGAUCAACUGCUCAUAUAGUUCAAUCCGGUGAAAAUCGUAUUCUUCCAUUACCUAAUAGAAAGGAUCAGGUGCCAGAUUCUAUCCUAUUAACUGGAG